rnacentral:rRNA from 1 species
UACGUAGGUGACCAGCGUUGUCCGGAUUUACUGGGCGUAAAGAGCGCGCAGGCGGUCGUUCAAGUCGAGUGUGAAAGCCCCCGGCUCAACUGGGGAGGGUCACUCGAUACUGAUCGACUUGAAGGCAGGAGAGGGAAGCGGAAUUCCCGGUGUAGUGGUGAAAUGCGUAGAUAUCGGGAGGAACACCAGUGGCGAAGGCGGCUUCCUGGCCUGUUCUUGACGCUGAGGCGCGAGAGCUAGGGGAGCAAACGGG